UACGUAGGUGGCAAGCGUUGUCCGGAUUUACUGGGCGUAAAGAGCGCGCAGGCGGUCGAGUAAGUCGAAUGUGAAAGCCCCCGGCUUAACUGGGGAGGGUCAUUCGAUACUGUUCGACUUGAAGGCAGGAGAGGGCAGCAGAAUUCCCGGUGUAGUGGUGAAAUGCGUAGAUAUCGGGAGGAAUACCAGUGGCGAAGGCGGCUGCCUGGCCUGUUCUUGACGCUGAGGAGCGAAAGCCAGGGGAGCAAACGGG
rnacentral:rRNA from 1 species